CAAAGCGUAGCUUAACCAAAGCAUCUCGCUUACACCGGGAACAUGUCUGUUAAAUCCAGAUCGCUUUGA
rnacentral:tRNA from 2 species